rnacentral:rRNA from 1 species
UACGGGGGGGGCAAGCGUUGUUCGGAAUUACUGGGCGUAAAGGGCUCGUAGGCGGCCAACUAAGUCAGACGUGAAAUCCCUCGGCUUAACCGGGGAACUGCGUCUGAUACUGGAUGGCUUGAGUGUGGGAGAGGGAUGCGGAAUUCCAGGUGUAGCGGUGAAAUGCGUAGAUAUCUAGAGGAACACCGGUGGCGAAGGCGGCAUCCUGGACCACGACUGACGCUGAGGAGCGAAAGCCAGGGGAGCAAACGGG